rnacentral:siRNA from 1 species
UCUUACGCCUAUAAGAUC